UACGAAGGGGGCUAGCGUUGCUCGGAAUCACUGGGCGUAAAGGGUGCGUAGGUGGCCAGGUAAGUUUGGUGUGAAAGCUCGGAGCUUAACUCCGAAAAGUCAUUGAAUACUAUCUGGCUGGAGGGUCGGAGGGGAGACUGGAAUUCUCGGUGUAGCAGUGAAAUGCGUAGAUAUCGGGAGGAACACCAGUGGCGAAGGCGAGUCUCUGGACGACUCCUGACACUGAGGCACGAAAGCUAGGGGAGCAAACAGG
rnacentral:rRNA from 1 species